ACCUGCACCGCUGUGAUCGGUGAGGCUAUCAAACGUCGAUAAAUUGUUACAGUGUCUUUUGCUCAAGAAUUAGCCAGAUUCUUACUAUUGCGAUUGAAUACUAGCUUUCCACAUUAUCAUGUUGAUUUUUUUCCGUAUAGAAGAGUCAUGACAUAAUAAUGUGCAUCUUAUAAACAUUACACGCAAUACAGAAUAAUAUUAUGUCAGCUGGAAUGUAUAUUAAAUUCUCAACACAUCUGCGCAUAAAGCUGACGCCAACGGCUGAGGAAUAACUAUUUCUUGUGUUUUUCAAGGUGACCUUGGAAUUAAUUGAAACUAAAUUACUGCUGAACUCGCCAUUCCCGCUACUCACCGACACCGGCAGGUUUUGGGUGCUGCUGUUAUUUGCAAUUGAUCAUUUGGCUUGUACCGGCAGUUCGCUCUUUGCGCGUUGUUCUCCAGUGCAGCAACAUUUCACUCAUAUCUGUCCAAAAACCAUAAUUGUGUGUUUUGAGUCUUCCCCAAUGUUUGCAGACGUACAUUAAGCCGUAAGGAAACAUGAUGAGGAGAAAGAACUGAGCGGGCCGUCAAAUCAGAAAUGGCAGCAAAGCCUGAGCAGCGUUAUAGCCACAUCCCAGGCGCUAAUGCCGAUUCUAGUUUGUCGUCACCCACUGUCGCUGCGGAAAUUACGGCCCAAAGAAAAUGACGGAUUAAUUGGACCAUCAUCCGUGUGGUGACGGCGUCUGCCGCGUUAGUUUACGCCAUCUCACCGCCAGGUGUCCACCUGGAGUGGCUGAAUCUCCGCAAGAUCCCGGGGAAACUUGCCGUGCACUAUAUUGGUAACCGCCUGAUUGAAUUAUAUACAAAGUAUAUCCGUACGCUCGCGUACGGCGUAGGAAGCACGUACAAGUUACUACGCACGUCAUAUCAGGUACGUACCGGUACGCUUGAAGCUAGCCGAUAAGGUACUGUAGUGGCUCGCACAUCUUGUACCACAGAGUUGGUGUACGGGAAAAAUGUGCAUCCCAAUAUACACACUAUAACCGGGCAAAACGCACGAUUCGCAGUUGGCGUGCAUUGAUAAAUUUCUGAUGUUUCUCAACUUCUGGUCUGGAGAACCUUCUUGAAUAUUAAAAAAAUUAGAGCUCUAAUAAUUAUUAACUAAAUUUAUGCUCAAAAGCAGCCAUUCACUUAAAUCUUUGCUGUCAGCUCGAAUUCAAACACUGAUUUGUUGUGGUUUUUGGGGUGCCCCUGCAGAGUGAGGGGUACGUUCAGCGUCAACAUUCUACAGCUACAGAAAAAUUCGAGUUCUCAGAUACAGAGCUUCUUUUCUAAGGUGAAUUACAAUUUUAAAGCAAAUGUUUGAUUCUGGACAGAUUCAGAAGGAGAAUUCAUCUUGAAGUCAAAUCACGCAUUAUUUCGUAGGCGUGCAUUUUGCCCGGUUAGAGUGUGUAUAUUGGAUGCACAUUUUUCCCGUACACCAACUCUGUGGUACAAGAUGUGCGAGCCACUACAGUAAUAUGCGUACGAUCGUGCGAGUCUUCUUCUGUCGGCGUCCAUUCGCCUUGUUGAUAAUUGUUCUUUUACUGCACCAAUUUAAUUCGAAAAUUUAAUAUUAAUGUAAUCAACGAAAAGUAAAAAUAAUAUUAUACGUACAAAUAAACGAUAAUAAUGUACAGUAACAGUAUGAACGUUGAUCCUGUUUUAAAAACAGUCCUCAUUCGGAUCUAUCGCCGAACGAUUUUGUAAUGGUGUUCGAGUAAAUUUGCGGCCUAAUUACAGAGCUUUGAUGGCCAGUUAAACUGAAAUAUCAUCAGCAAUUAAUUCCCACUUUCGCUGUCGGUUGUGUGAUCUUUAGGCGGCAGUCUGACUGAUAAGAAUUCACUGCUGAUCGGAAUCUGUUUUCUAUGGAAUGCUGCGGUGAACGCUAUUACCGACGCUUAAUGGAGCUGACUCAGCGUUGCUCACGAUACGCGUGAUGUUGGCCGCCGCUGAUACAAACACGACCUGGGAGAAUCGAGGCACCGGCAAGUUUUUCUAUUAGAGCUGCAGAGAUAUCUGGAGCAACCAGAGAUUUUAUCGUUGUCGUUCUGAGUCAGAGGCAAGCGAAAAAUUGUUAAUCUUACACCAGCUGCAUUUCGCCAUAAUUAUUAUUAAUAAUAAAUAUCAACCGAUUUUUUUGGUCGGAAAAUUCGGAAAAUAGGGUGUCGCGUCCGAUGAGCUUCCGCAGCGUUGUGCUCUGCAGGUUGCCAGAGAAAACCUGCUGUGGUAGUAUUAAGCUGCGUAUCCUUAGCUGUAGCAAAUGUAAAUAGGAAUGUUGCCUUUUUUUAAAUUUUUAAAUAAUAAAUGCGGCUCAUGUAGUGUCACCACGCAUGCACUCUUUUCUUACUCGUACUUUGGGCCGCAGUUUAAUAUCGACCUAUUCAAUUAAAUUUUAUCGGAAACAUUGUUUUAAAUAAAAUUUAAAACAUUGUUUUAAAUUUUAUUAGAAGCAUUAAUCAGCAGUUGCAUAUCGGGAUUCCUUCGGUUUUAUAUGGACAAGUCUGUAUCUUUGAGGUCAGUAAGGUCUGUUACAUUUUGUAAUAACUUUAGCGUUGUUUUCCUUUUCGGCUGGGAUCGAGUAGAUGCGUCGAGAAUAAUGCAAUCUGGCUGACGCAUCGUGUCGUGCGCUGACCAAAGUUCGGCGGGCCGGGGCGUGGCCAUUAGGCAUCACGGCAGUUGCAGGUUAACUUGCUGUUUCCGAUUGGUCGGUAGGAGGUAGUGUGGUCGUCCCGCCGCACACAGCAUCCAUCAAACGGACUGGCAACACACCGUGUGGGCGCACAUAACAAACUGUUGCUUGUUUAUUAGUCAGUGUUGUUACUUGGGGUUCGUUGUACACUACAGCAGACAGCGUCUUAGUUCAAUAGCCUGUGCGUGGUUUAUGUAGGGUCCUUGCCGUCCUUCCGUUUCUUGGUCAAGCUCCCGGUGGCCGUUGCGGCCACACACACCGUCCGUCCUGCGCAUCGCCAGCCGGACUGGCCCGAUCUCCGCCGUACAUGCGCCAUUUAGAGCCUCAUCUUCAGGGUUGUCUUCCCGAUGCACAGCCGCGUGGUGGCAUCGAUCCGCUCUGUACGGCGAAGCUCGUACCUCGCACUCGUUUCCUUGAAUGGCAGCAGCCAUACCGCUUCCUUUGCCGCCAUCGGUCGGUCGCUGGUGUGAUGCCCAGCUGCUCGUACAGUUGCGGUGUUAUCCGACAACUGCCGCCGGUGAUGGUCCGCAAGGCCGCGUCUUGCCGUUUCUUCAGCUCCUUCUGCUCUCCCGAAGACGCCGUGGACCAAGCCAGUGCACAGUAAUCUAUGUACGGCUCGACGAAGGCGUGGUGAAGGGUGGCUCGCUGAGGGAUGCUGAGACCGGUUCUGACUCGCUUGAUCUUCUGGAUACCGAAAUUAAUGUUUCGUUUCACUUUCUGGAACUGCUUAUCCCAUUUCAGCUGAUGGUCGACUUCAACUCCCAGGUGGUGUUUCUAUUCACGCAGCUUAACAUGAUCAUCCAUGUCGUCUUGGCAGCCGCCGGAUCGGAGACUAGCGGAAAUGGCGGCAUCGAUUAUCGGCCGCUCCUGGUUGGCUUGGUGCCGUUUGUGCUUGUCGGCGUGCUGGGCCUAGCUCGUGGGCUACUGCAUCGUCAAGAAGUGCGCUCGCUGUGCAAUGUGGACACGCCGCAAGCCACCGCCCAUUCCGGUUAACGCCGGAAGCGGCACAAUCAAAGUAACCGCCAUUUUUUAUAUUGCCUAACCGACCGCUCCUUGUUUGGCAGUUACAUUACCUUUUUUGCGGAAAAUAUGUGCUUUUUAGCGCGCUUUUCUUUAGUUUGCUUCUAAUGCGAAUAUUGUGGUAGCGCAUGCAGCAAGUAAUUUGCUCGUUGCGUAAUGUAAAAAAUGUGGAAAUGUAAAAAAAAUGUGGAAAUUCUUUUAACCUGUAACAGAUUGAAAUUCAUUAUUUAAAUUCGGGACUGACAAUUUUUUUUGGAAUUCCAUGUUUGGAAAGGGGAUAAGAAAAUGCUGGCUUUCUGCCGAAACACGUGGUAAUGGAAGUUGAUGCCUGCAUAUAAAAAGGUGGCCGUUGCUGUCACACUGAACUUUUCAAGAUUUGUACAUGUGGUCAAGAAACAAACGCUUAUCUUCUCUCUGAAUCAAUUACUUGUUGCAACAUUAAUUUUGUACUCUCUCUGGUGUAUAGUGUUUUGAUUUCCGCGCUCCGUAUGCAAGUGUAAAGCGUUAC